rnacentral:tRNA from 1 species
GGGGAUAUAGCUCAGCUGGUAGAGCACCGCCUUUGCAAGGCGGGGGUUACCGGUUCGAGUCCGGUUAUCUCCA